GCGAAGUGACGAUACAAAUUCAUUAAUCCACUGAUACUGGAAACAGUGUGUUGUUACUAUGAAUCACGACAGGUUCCGAUCGC